AACGAACGCUGGCGGCAUGCCUAACACAUGCAAGUCGAACGAGACCUUCGGGUCUAGUGGCGCACGGGUGCGUAACGCGUGGGAACCUGCCCUUAGGUUCGGAAUAACUCCCCGAAAGGGGUGCUAAUACCGGAUAAUGUCUUCGGACCAAAGAUUUAUCGCCUUUGGAUGGGCCCGCGUUGGAUUAGCUAGUUGGUAGGGUAAAAGCCUACCAAGGCGACGAUUCAUAGCUGGUCUGAGAGGAUGAUCAGCCACACUGGGACUGAGACACGGCCCAGACUCCUACGGGAGGCAGCAGUGGGGAAUAUUGGACAAUGGGCGAAAGCCUGAUCCAGCAAUGCCGCGUGAGUUAUGAAGGCCUUAGGGUUGUAAAGCUCUUUUACCCGGGAUGAUAAUGACAGUACCGGGAGAAUAAGCUCCGGCUAACUCCGUG
rnacentral:rRNA from 1 species